rnacentral:misc_RNA from 1 species
AACCUAGCACACCUGCGGUGUGUACCUGCGGAGGGAUCAUUACUGAGUCACGUGCUCAAACAACCCUUCUGUGGACCUGAAAUAAACCGUUGCCUCGGCGGGCGGUCCCCCCAAGCAAACCCCACGUGGUGGGUUAGGGGACCAGACAGUCCGGCACGCUUAAGGCGUCCGGCGCCAGCCGCUGGCCCCAAACAAUUAAACUCUAGUAACCUUUACCUUCUGAGUUUCAAUAUUUAAAAA